GUUAGGAAUAUUCGUCAAUGGGGGAAACCCUGAACGAGCAAUGCCGCGUGAAGGAAGACGGUCCUAUGGAUUGUAAACUUCUGUUGUAAGGGAAGAACGACCUAAGUAGGAAAUGAUUUAGGAGUGACGGUACCUUUCAAGAAAGCUCCGGCUAACUACGUGCCAGCAGCCGCGGUAAUACGUAGGGAGCGAGCGUUAUCCGGAAUUAUUGGGUGUAAAGGGUGCGUAGGCGGCAUAAUAAGUCAGUGGUGAAAGCCCGGAGCUUAACUCCGGUAAGCCAUUGAAACUGUUAAGCUUGAGUAUGGUAGAGGCAAGCGGAAUUUCUAGUGUAGCGGUAAAAUGCGUAGAUAUUAGAAGGAACACCAGUGGCGAAGGCGGCUUGCUGGGCCAAAACUGACGCUGAGGCACGAAAGCGUGGGGAGCAAAUAGGA
rnacentral:rRNA from 1 species